CCUACGGGUGGCUGCAGUGGGGAAUAUUGGACAAUGGGGGGAACCCUGAUCCAGCCAUGCCGCGUGUGUGAAGAAGGCCCUCGGGUUGUAAAGCACUUUCAGUGAGGAAGAACGCCCGGUGGUUAAUACCCAUCAGGAAAGACAUCACUCACAGAAGAAGCACCGGCUAACUCCGUGCCAGCAGCCGCGGUAAUACGGAGGGUGCGAGCGUUAAUCGGAAUUACUGGGCGUAAAGCGCGCGUAGGUGGCUUGAUAAGCCGGUUGUGAAAGCCCCGGGCUCAACCUGGGAACGGCAUCCGGAACUGUCAAGCUAGAGUGCAGAAGAGGAAGGUAGAAUUCCCGGUGUAGCGGUGAAAUGCGUAGAGAUCUGGAGGAAUACCAGUGGCGAAGGCGGCCUUCUGGACUGACACUGACACUGAGGUGCGAAAGCGUGGGUAGCAAACAGGAUUAGAUACCCUUGUAGUC
rnacentral:rRNA from 1 species